rnacentral:rRNA from 1 species
GACAGAGGGUGCAAACGUUGUUCGGAAUUACUGGGCGUAAAGCGCGUGUAGGCGGCCCUGCAAGUCGGAUGUGAAAUCCCACGGCUCAACCGUGGAGGUGCAUUCGAAACUGCAGGGCUAGAGUCCUGGAGAGGAAGGUGGAAUGCUUGGUGUAGAGGUGAAAUUCGUAGAUAUCAAGCGGAACACCGGUGGCGAAGGCGGCCUUCUGGACAGUGACUGACGCUGAGACGCGAAAGCGUGGGGAGCAAACAGG